AUUAAUUGAAGAGUUUGAUCAUGGCUCAGAUUGAACGCUGGCGGUAGGCUUAACACAUGCAAGUCGUGCGAGAAAGUAUCUUCGGAUAUGAGUAGAGCGGCGGACGGGUGAGUAACGCGUAGGAAUCUACCUAGUAGAAGGGGAUAGCCCGGGGAAACCCGGAUUAAUACCGUAUACCUCCUUCGGGAGAAAGAAGGCCUCUCUUUGAAGCUUUCGCUAUUAGAUGAGCCUGCGUAAGAUUAGCUUGUUGGUGAGGUAAAGGCUCACCAAGGCGACGAUCUUUAGCUGGUCUGAGAGGACGAUCAGCCACAUUGGGACUGAGACACGGCCCAGACUCCUACGGGAGGCAGCAGUGGGGAAUAUUGGACAAUGGGCGCAAGCCUGAUCCAGCCAUACCGCGUGUGUGAAGAAGGCCUUCGGGUUGUAAAGCACUUUAAGCAGGGAGAAAAAGUUAUAAGUUAAUACCUUAUAACCCUGAUGUUACCUGCAGAAUAAGCACCGGCUAAUUCCGUGCCAGCAGCCGCGGUAAUACGGAAGGUGCAAGCGUUAAUCGGAAUUACUGGGCGUAAAGCGCGCGUAGGUGGUUUGUUAAGUUGGAUGUGAAAGCCCUGGGCUCAACCUAGGAACUGCAUCCAAAACUAACUCACUAGAGUACGAUAGAGGGAGGUAGAAUUCAUAGUGUAGCGGUGGAAUGCGUAGAUAUUAUGAAGAAUACCAGUGGCGAAGGCGGCCUCCUGGAUCUGUACUGACACUGAGGUGCGAAAGCGUGGGUAGCGAACAGGAUUAGAUACCCUGGUAGUCCACGCCGUAAACGAUGACAACUAGCUGUUGGGAGACUAUGUCUUUCAGUGGCGCAGCUAACGCUUUAAGUUGUCCGCCUGGGGAGUACGGCCGCAAGGCUAAAACUCAAAUGAAUUGACGGGGACCCGCACAAGCGGUGGAGCAUGUGGUUUAAUUCGAUGCAACGCGAAAAACCUUACCUACUCUUGACAUACUUGGAGGCUCUUGUAAUGAGAGUGUGCCUUUUGGAACCAAGAUACAGGUGCUGCAUGGCUGUCGUCAGCUCGUGUCGUGAGAUGUUCCGUUAAGUCGGAUAACGAGCGCAACCCUUACCCUUAUUUGCCAGCGAUUCGGUCGGGAACUAUAAGGGGACUGCCGGUGAUAAACCGGAGGAAGGUGAGGACGACGUCAAGUCAUCAUGGCCCUUACGAGUAGGGCUACACACGUGCUACAAUGGGAGAUACAGACGGACGCUAAGCCGCGAGGUGGUGCUAAUCCUAAAAAGUCUUUCGUAGUCCGGAUUGGAGUCUGCAACUCGACUCCAUGAAGUCGGAAUCGCUAGUAAUCGCGGAUCAGCAUGCCGCGGUGAAUACGUUCUCGGGUCUUGUACACACCGCCCGUCACACCAUGGAAGUGGAUUGCACCAGAAGUAGAUAGUCUAACCUUAGGGAGGGCGUUUACCACGGUGUGCUUCAUGACUGGGGUGAAGUCGUAACAAGGUAGCCGUAGGGGAACCUGUGGCUGGAUCACCUCCUUA
rnacentral:rRNA from 1 species